AGUACCAGUCAGGACACAGCUUGGACAUGAGGGCCUCUGUUGAGUUCCUUGGGCUCCUGCUGCUCUGGCUCUCAGGUGCAAAAUGUGACAUCCAAAUGACUCAGUCUCCAUCCACACAGUCAGCAUCUCUUGGAGGCCGAGUCACCAUCACUUGCCAGGCAAGUGAGAACAUUUACAGAAAUAUAGCCUGGUAUCAACAGAAACAGGGGAAAGCUCCGAAGCUCCUGAUCUAUGGUGCAUCCAGUUUGCAAACUGGGGUCCCGUCGAGGUUCAGUGGCAGUGGAUCUGGAACAGACUACACUCUCACCAUCAGCAGCCUGGAGUCUGAAGACAUUGCUACUUACUACUGUCAACAGUACAACGAAUAUCCUCCCACAGUGACACAAGCCAUGACAUAA